AUGCGGGAGGAUGGGCAGGCAGUUGAUGAUGCCCUUUACGCACUAGCAAUGUGUCCUGAUACUCGGGUAAGACAUUAUGAAUCUAGCGUUGUUGGAGAUGUGCGCUACAACACCCUUGCACACGACGAAGACAGAAAGACACAAAACAGUGCCAUCAUGAGCAUGGAUACGUACGAUAGUGUGAUAACUGAAAUGUAUGCUAACAUAAUAGACAUUGUUCAGUUGCAGUAUAUCUCCAGUUUCGAGGAUCAUCGGUGUGUGGUUCUGUUGUGCUGUUGUUGGUAUAACCUGUUUUCCAGGAUCGCAAAACCCAGAGUUGAUGAUUAUUUCAAAUCCAUCAAUGUCAAGGCGGCGUACCAGACCAACGAGCCUUUUAUUUUGGCAAAUCAAGCAACACGGAUGUUUUUCUUGGGAGACACAUUUGCACGUAACGAUGACUGGAGAGUAUUGCAAAGGUUUGAGCAGAGGAAUUCGUUUAAUGAAGUUGCACAACAAUCUGAUUCUUACACCGCUCCUGAUGUACAAGAUUCCACAGAUGUUCCUAAUAUCUUUGAGAACCAUCACGUCAAUGACGCUGGCAAAAAGAUUGCAUGUCGUGCUGUGGACAUACAAGAGUUGAUCAAGAAGAAGCCAACGUUCGAGGACAUUAAGGAUGAAGAAGAAGAUGACACUGUGGGGAAUUACGAUUCAGACUGA
rnacentral:rRNA from 1 species